UUUAAGCUGUUAGAAGGAUAGCUUGGUUUGGACUGCGAAGAAGGACGCGACAAGCUGCGAUAAGCUCAGGCGAGCCGCAUGUAGGCAUAGAACCUGAGGUUUCCGAAUCUGAAACAGUUUUACAUAAACUGUAAAAAUGCUCGUCGUAAAAUCGGGGAGCAAGCGAACGCAGGGAAUUGAAGCAUCUUAGUACCUGCAGGAAAAGAAAUCAAUAGAGAUGCUGUUAGUAGCAGCGAGCGAAAGCAGCACAAGGCAAACCUAAUUUUUUAUUGAAAGAUAAAAAAGAUGUGGUGUCAGUGCACUUCUAAACUCAUAACUUCAAACUUCUCUGGAACGAGAGGCCUUAGAGCAUGAUAGCUGCGUAGAAGAAAUGAGCAUGGAGAUUGCUGACAAAGAGUAGCACUUCCUGGAUUGGAGGUGUGAAUACGGCACUACUAUGUGCCAACUUUAAAAAUGAGUCCAAGUCCGAUAGCGAAAUAGUACCGCGAGGGAAAGCUGAAAAGCACCUUUGACGAGGUGUGAAAAGACUUCAAAUCUAACAGUUAUUGAUAGUUACAGCGUUGAGUUGUAACGUGCGUUCUGAAGAACGAGCCAAGGAGUGAAGGUAAAUGGCGAGGUUAAUUAUCUUUGCGAUAAGAAGCCGUAGCGAAAGCGAGAGAUCGUAUGCAAAAAAGAUCCGCGUAUGAAAAUGCGUCGAGUUAUUUACCUUCGACCCGAAGCCAGAUGAUCUAUUCAUGCUCAGGGUGAAGUCUUCCUAACGGAGGAUGGAGGCCCGAACAAGUGUUACGAGCAAGUAUUUUGAUGAAGUAUGAUUAGGGGUGAAAAGCCUCUCUAAUCUGGCGAUGUCUGGUUCCUGCUGAAAUAUACUUUAGUAUAGGCUUGUUGCGUUGACUAACAAGGUAAAGUACAGAUUGGACUUGCAGAGGAUUUUUCCUACGGAGUACUUUCUAACUAAGAAUUUGUUAGUAACUUGCAACAGGACUCAGGGCUGGGGCGUAAGGUUCCAGUCCGAAACCGGAAAAACGGAGAUUGAGGUUAAGGUCCCUAAGAAUAUGUUAAGUGUGUACGAAGAGUGUCUUGAACCUGAGACAGUGGGGAGGUAGGCUCAGAAGCAGCCAUCCUUUAAAGAAAGCGUAACAGCUCACCCAUCGAGGUUCUCGGCCUCGUAAAUGGACGGGGCUAAACAUAUCACCGAUACCUCAAUGUUAUCCAUUUGGAUAAUCAAGUAAGCAGGCGUUCUGUUCGAGUAGAAGCAUUUUCGAGAGAAAGUGUGGAUUGAAUGGAAACGAGAAUCUUGGCGUAAGUAGGAGCAGAGUCAUGUGAGAACCAUGAUCACCGCAAGAGUAAGGGUUUCUCGGCAACAACGAUUGGCCGAGAUUUAGUCGGUUCCUAACUGUUUUCUUAACUGAGAAACGGGAAUGGGAAUCACGUUAAUAUUCGUGAACUACUUAGGUGCCGCAAGGCGUUUUUUUGAUUACAUUUUAUGAUAAGCAGAGAAAUUUGAAAGGAUUUUUUUCAUGUCGAAAUUUUUGGAGUGUUGUAAUAACGAGAAGAAGACCAAGACAUGCGACGAAAGUUUGCUGAUUCGUGGAAUCCGUGAAAAGUUCAAAAAAGAAAACUAAGUAGCCGUACCUAGAACCAACACAGGUACUCUAUCUAAGUAAGAUAAGGUGUGAAAGGUAUAAGCCAGCUAAGGGAAUUCGGCAUAUUAGUCCCGUGCCCUCGGCAUAAGGGAUGCCUAUUUUUGUAUUUUUUCGAAAGAUGAAGUGCGAGAGUAGGUUUCAAUAUCAAGGAAAGCCCGACUGUUUACUAAAAACGUAGCUAAUUGCAAAUCCGAAAGGAUGUGUACAAUUGGUGAAGCCUGCUCAGCGUCGGUGUCUCAAACUUUCUUUCAAGGAAGCUAAGGCCCGGCAAGCGGCGGGGGUAACUAUGACCCUCUUAAGGUAAAAGUUUCAUUACGAUUGCCUUAUCAAAAUUUGGCUAUAUGCGGAAACAUCUGAGAAUUCCAAACUACAACGAUAAACUUAAAGAAAAACUUAUAAGUUUAGUUCGCGUAAAAAUGUUAUGGAUGCAGAAAAUCCGCAGGAAAGAUUAGAUGCUAAAUGGAUUGUAGGUUUUACAGACGGAGAAGGUUGCUUUCAUAUAGCAAUCAAUCGAAUUCCAGAAAUGAGUUUAGGAUGGCAGGUGCUUCCAGAAUUCAGAAUUGUUCAACAUGAACGCGAUGAAUUGCUUCUUCAUAAAAUCAAAGAAUAUUUUGGUUUUGGGGAAGUAACAAUAAAUCGCAAAGACAACCAUGGAAUCAGAAAAGAAUUCAGAGUCAGAGGAUUGGAAAAUUUGAAUAAAUUAGUAAAUUUUUUCAAAGAAAAUCCUUUAAUGACAAAAAAGAAAAAAGAUUUUGAAAUUUUUUCUGAAGUGAUUGGCAUGAUGAACAGAAAUGAACAUCUGAAAAAAGAAGGACUUGACAAAAUUGCAAAACUGAUUUCUGAAAUGAAUGAAAAACCACAAAUAAAGUAUCUAAAAUCCUCAGAGACUAUACGCCAGAUUCAGAAUUAAAAUUCUGAAAAGAUAUAGUCCGAACUGCAUGGCAACAUGCAGAAAAUAACAGAAAUGUUAUUUCAUCCAAAAUUUAUCAAAAUUUUGGUGUAACAUAAUUGAGCGUAAUACCUUGUCGUCUGAAUGGCGACUUGCAUGAAUGGCGCAACGAGGUUUUCACUGUCCCUAGCUGGUACCUUCUGAACUCUCCCUUCUGGUGAAAAGGCCAGAGAAUCCUAAUGGGAAGCGGAGACCUUGUAGACCUUUACUGCAGCCUGCUAUUGUGUUUUUGUGAAGAGUGCCUAGCGUAAGUAGGAGAGAUGAAGCGUAGUUUCGGCGAGGCGGAUCGACAAUGUAAAACUACUUAUUUUUUACGACAAUGCUUAUCUGAA
rnacentral:rRNA from 1 species